AAAUUGAAGAGUUUGAUCAUGGCUCAGAUUGAACGCUGGCGGCAGGCCUAACACAUGCAAGUCGAACGGUAGCACAGAGAGCUUGCUCUCGGGUGACGAGUGGCGGACGGGUGAGUAAUGUCUGGGAAACUGCCUGAUGGAGGGGGAUAACUACUGGAAACGGUGGCUAAUACCGCAUAACGUCGCAAGACCAAAGAGGGGGACCUUCGGGCCUCUUGCCAUCAGAUGUGCCCAGAUGGGAUUAGCUUGUUGGUGAGGUAACGGCUCACCAAGGCGACGAUCCCUAGCUGGUCUGAGAGGAUGACCAGCCACACUGGAACUGAGACACGGUCCAGACUCCUACGGGAGGCAGCAGUGGGGAAUAUUGCACAAUGGGCGCAAGCCUGAUGCAGCCAUGCCGCGUGUAUG
rnacentral:rRNA from 1 species